rnacentral:rRNA from 1 species
UACGUAGGGUGCGAGCGUUAAUCGGAAUUACUGGGCGUAAAGGGCUCGUAGGCGGCCAACUAAGUCAGACGUGAAAUCCCUCGGCUUAACCGGGGAACUGCGUCUGAUACUGGAUGGCUUGAAUCCGGGAGAGGGAUGCGGAAUUCCAGGUGUAGCGGUGAAAUGCGUAGAUAUCUGGAGGAACACCGGUGGCGAAGGCGGCAUCCUGGACCGGCAUUGACGCUGAGGAGCGAAAGCCAGGGGAGCAAACGGG